rnacentral:rRNA from 1 species
GACAGAGGAUGCAAGCGUUAUCCGGAAUGAUUGGGCGUAAAGCGUCUGUAGGUGGCUUUUUAAGUCCGCCGUCAAAUCCCAGGGCUCAACCCUGGACAGGCGGUGGAAACUACCAAGCUGGAGUACGGUAGGGGCAGGAGGGAAUUUCCGGUGGGAGCGGUGAAAUGCGUAGAGAUCGGAAAGAACACCAACGGCGAAGCACUCUGCUGGGCCGACACUGACACUGAGAGACGAAAGCUAGGGGGAGCGAAUGGGAUUAGAACCUACCUCGUAGACC